rnacentral:rRNA from 1 species
AUAGAUACCCUGGUAGUCCACGCCCUAAACGAUGUCGACUAGGUGUUGGGGAAGGAGACUUCCUUAGUACCGCAGCUAACGCGUGAAGUCGACCGCCUGGGGAGUACGGUCGCAAGAUUAAAACUCAAAGGAAUUGACGGGGACCCGCACAAGCGGUGGAUGAUGUGGAUUAAUUCGAUGCAACGCGAAAAACCUUACCUACCCUUGACAUGUACGGAAGUCCGCUGAGAGGUGGAUGUGCCCGAAAGGGAGCCGUAACACAGGUGCUGCAUGGCUGUCGUCAGCUCGUGCCGUGAGAUGUUGGGUUAAGUCCCGCAACGAGCGCAACCCUUGCCAUUAGUUGCCACAUUCAGUUGGGCACUCUAAUGGGACUGCCGGUGACAAACCGGAGGAAGGUGGGGAUGACGUCAAGUCCUCAUGGCCCUUAUGGGUAGGGCCUCACACGUCAUACAAUGGCGCGUACAGAGGGUUGCCAACCCGCGAGGGGGAGCCAAUCCCAGAAAGCGCGUCGUAGUCCGGAUUGGAGUCUGCAACUCGACU